AUUGAACGCUGGCGGCAGGCCUAACACAUGCAAGUCGAGCGGAUGAGUGGAGCUUGCUCCAUGAUUCAGCGGCGGACGGGUGAGUAAUGCCUAGGAAUCUGCCUGGUAGUGGGGGACAAAGUUUCGAAAGGAACGCUAAUACCGCAUACGUCCUACGGGAGAAAGUGGGGGAUCUUCGGACCUCACGCUAUCAGAUGAGCCUAGGGCGGAUUAGCUAGUUGGUGGGGUAAAGGCUCACCAAGGCGAGGAUCCGUAACUGGUCUGAGAGGAUGAUCAGUCACACUGGAACUGAGACACGGUCCAGACUCCUACGGGAGGCAGCAGUGGGGAAUAUUGGACAAUGGGCGAAAGCCUGAUCCAGCCAUGCCGCGUGUGUGAAGAAGGUCUUCGGAUUGUAAAGCACUUUAAGUUGGGAGGAAGGGCAGUAAGUUAAUACCUUGCUGUUUUGACGUUACCAACAGAAUAAGCACCGGCUAACUUCGUGCCAGCAGCCGCCGUAAGAC
rnacentral:rRNA from 1 species